rnacentral:sRNA from 12 species
GAUAAAUCCCAGGAUAACUGGGCGAAAGGGUCGGCGAGGCUAAUUUGCUGGCCCCCUAUCAAGACGCGACGGGUUCGCGAUGAAACUCGGCUGGAAGAUUGCUUCGGCGAUUGGACGGACGGGCGGAAUGCGGAAAACCGGGCGGGGAGAAGGCACAGUUCACACGAGUGCCCGGUGGCGUUCGCACGCUGCCGAAAAUGCGAAAUGGCACUCAGGAAGUGAGGGGUGAAAAAGUGCGGGCGAAAGCUCACACAAAGAGCCACCCCGAACUGACUCACGAACGUGAUAGAGACACUUCAGGCAACCCUUCGGGGAAGCUAUGCAGACCGUCUCAUUCGCCGGACUGGUCCAGAUUCGAUUCCUUCGGGGAUUGGAACUGUAAGUCAGAAACUCAAGCCUGCUUCGGGCCUGAGUGGAAAAGUAGUUGCCCAGAGGGUAUUGGUUGCCUACUACGAAAAUUGGCACGGCAGGAAUCUAAAAUUGGCCGGUGACGGCCAGCCAGACGAAAUCCUCUGAAAGGAGGGACAAAGCUGGGGUUCCCGUCGGGAUAGCCACGAGCCCAAGACAACGGCCGUGAAAACUAUCCGGCAAGGUGGCGAUGCAAAAAACUGCAGCGCUGUCAUGUGAACGAAAUGGCAACCUGAGGGGUAAGAGGCGAGACCCGUGGCACGGGCCAACGCACCGCCAAAAGCGGUGGCCGACCUGUGCCAGAUGGCUUGGAUGUGAUUGGUUCACAUCCGCGUCCAAGCCUGGUCCGCGGGUCAGUGGCCGCAACCACUGGCUGAAGCGGGCAAAUAAACCUCACCCGAAAAUUCAAGUGCUGUAAGGCCUUGGACGGCCCUGUUAUGAGGCCGACAACUCCGCGAGUCACGGGGAAUGGCGUCGGGGAGCAAUCAACCUGCUUGCAGGUGCCUAAUGAUUGUAUCUGGUAAAGAGCGUGUGGCGAGCGCC